UUAUGCUAGUCGUGCCCCGCAAGCACAGUGCUGAGUUCGGGAGAGCUUGUCCAGUCUUGACAUGCGGCAUGCGGAAGAGAGUCUGGUGUCUCUGAUGUGGCACUCAUGCGGAUAUUUCCCGAAGUGGGCGAUGAUCAUUCCUUCGUAAUCCUGUGUGAAGAGAAAGUGGCGCGCCAAAAGUGAUUAUGUUGUUUGCGGAAAGGAAUUAGAGGGGAGUGCUUACCAGUUUGGUUUAUCGUUGCAUGAAUGAGAGGCCAAGCUCUAGUUCUGCUCGACACAGAUUCUUCGAAAGUGAGAGGUCAGCCUGUAAAGUUGGAAUCUGGCUGCAAGUCUUGCAAGGGUUUUACGUGUGCGUGACCUUUGAGAUUUGACUUGUUUCUGCAUCAGCUCUGCUUGAAAGACAAUUGGUCACGCAUGCUUUCCUGUACAAUAUUUCUAGAAUUUGAAGUGAUCAAAAUGGUCUCCGUUUAAUAAUGCUGAAUUGUGGGUGGUCAAGGCGCACAGUUUACAGUAAGUUGUUUCGUGUUAUUGGCCUCAUCAUACGUGGAGGGUCCGCCUCACCUUUGUUUUGAAAGUAACAGAAGGAGAUGCCAAAUGUAGGCCAGAAAAUCAGCAGUUCCUAGCGGACUCUUUUCUGAUAUUUGAGCGAGGGGUUGGGCGAUCUGGAUUGUACAAUCACGCCUGAAGGUCGCUUUUGUUGAUCCCUCUGAGUUUAGAAGUGCAUACAAGCCGGAGUGAAUUAGUAGAGAUCAUGCGCCCCCUGAAACAUUACUUAUCAUCUAAAGCGCCAGCAAAUCGCAGUACCUACUGAAAGGUGAAACCCUAGUAAACAGUUCACUGUCGAGUGUUCGCUCAUGUCAUAUCACGGUGGUUCUCUAGCUGGCGGGAACACGAAAAUGAUGUCGCCUCCCAGCAGGGCGCGGACACUUUUCUCAACAUGUGCAGGGGAAUAGCGAAAUCAGUCCAACGUGUGAGCGAACAUUGUGAUCUCAUGAACAUGCACCAAUGUGCCUUGCUCGUCGAAAGGCUGUCCGAGACAGAGAAAACUCUGCUGCACAAAGUGAUAUGAAAGUGACGUUUUCAAAAGUUCUGUACGAAGUCCGCUGGCACACAGACAUUCUUCAGAGCAUUCUUGUGGAAGUCUUGGGAGUUUCCCGCAAUAACAGUACGUUUGAGCCAACGUCGUGCUACGGUAAGCUGACAGUUGGGGACGAACUACUUCUGCUGACAGCGAUGAAGGAAGACCAGAAGGGUCUCAAAGACUGCCUCAGAUCUGUGCAGCUGGACGACCCGACAGAGCGACAACUUGCAGAUCAAUUGUUGAAGAAGAUGGCGCCGUCGAAGAUCAGGAGUUAAACUUGGGUACAUCGUCCUUUACUUUGUUAUCCCUCAAUCCUCAAAAUCCAAACAACUUUUAUUGCGGCACUCUGCUUGGUAGAGGUUCAUCUGGCACAGUGCGUGAACCAAAUGUUCUGGGCGGCGUGUAUGCAAUCUAGAUUUUCGAGGCCCUUCAUACUCCGCGCAUUUGAGGAAGAAAUGACGGCUUUACAGUAACUGGGGCAUCACCCUCACAUGCUGCGCCUUCUCCGCUGUUCUAGAAACGAAACUAGUUCGGAUUGCUUUCUCAUCAUGGAAAGAAUGGACACGAAAACCGUCGUAGUUUCUCAAGCAGAGGACCAUCACAUCGCACGACCACGGACUGUUAGAAGAGGUUAUAUCGAUGCUCCAAAUUGCAGAAGGCAUGAGGUAAAUUGAAACAAAUUCUAAUCUAGAAUUCUUCCAAGAUCUCUUCUAAACAACAUUUAGCAUCCAUCGAGGUAACCUCCAAAGGUACUAGUUCUAAAUAUUUUCAUAUCAAUGAAUAUAUUUCAAAUCUUUCCGAUAAAACUCUAACUUCUUCUCUUCUGGUUGCCUUAAAGUUCUCAUGUACCUCCCCACCAUGCCUAGUUACCUUCCAAUUUUAUCUAAAGGAAUCGUAGUCUUUAAAUUAAAUAUAACCCUGACAAGCUGUUAUCUUAAUCUUGAUUCAAUCUUAGCCAAGUCCCAAUUAUCUUAAUCUUAGCUUAAUUUUCACCAACGAUACAAGUGUACUCACAGCUAGCUAGCUCAUCGCGAUCUCAAACCAGGGUUCCUGGUGACUGAUGAAGAUCGUUCCAGCCAGCUCGUGCCCCGAGCUCGUUCAGUGAAGAUUGCUGAUUUUGGGAUGUCGAAAACCAGAAACGCCAGUGGGUCGGAUGCUGAUAUCAGACUUUAAACGAACGAACACCGGCACCACAGGAUAGCAGUAGUAGCUGGCGCCGGAGGUCAUCCAAGCAGAAAAGAAAGAAGGUGAUCCGAAGAAAGCUGAGUUCAAUCCCUUGAAUGCGAAUUCGUACAUCAACAUCAUCAUGUGCUGCUAGAUUCUGAGUGAAAUUAUUUUUCCCUUUUGGAAUUAUUUAGGUCAACAAUUCAACCCAGAUGAAGAAGAAGAAGAAGACGAAAGCAGUGAAGAAGGCGGAUACUGUAGGAAGGACCAAUCUUACCAGAGUCUGUCUUGAAGUCCUCUGCCAGUUGAAGAAAGUCCCUUGAUACAAACAAACAAACAAACAAAGAUGCUGGGCUGCACAAUUAUUCACACCCGACCCCUUUUAUUUCCCCGAAUAUAUUUGCCAAGAGCUUCGGUUCAUCGAAGGCCUCUUCCUCCUCCUCCUCCUCCUGCGUGGUGAGUUGAGUUUCUCUCCUGCAGUAUAAAUGACAAAUCUGAAUUCAGAAACUCUGAGGAUUUUUUUAGUUUUGACAUCCAACUAUGGCAUUGCAAAUAAAAUUAGUCACUGAGGAGUUUGAAUGAGGUCCAUUAUCGAUGGAAGGAGGUGGCUUUUUAGGGCUGGCCAAGGUCAUUCGUUCUCCACUACCAGACACAAUUACCCAAGUUCAAAAAAGGUUUAAUUUUAGAAUAAACCAUUUUUAAUUAGCUUUAUUUAAUUUAAAGGUUUUUUUAUAUAAAGCAAAAGAAAAAAGAAAAAAAGAAAACAGUUGGGGAAUAGACUGUGUGGCAGCCUAUUAGGGAUGGGAAAUUGGAAACAAGUGUAAGAUUUCCCCCCUCUCAAAUGACAUAUAAGGUCCAAUCAAUAUAAGAGUAUGGUGUUUAAGAAUGUUCUGAUGUUUGUGGCCAAGGAUGUCAGCCCUAAGUAAAGUUUGGGCAUUGUGUGUUUUUCAGGUGAUCAGCAACAGUUGAAGAAAGAAUCUAAAUCCAACAUGGUGAAAAAGUAAAAUAAAUGAGAAUAAGAUGCAAAGAAAUUGGACCAGAAUAUCUGACAUCAACCAACACAGCACAGUAGUAAAUCCACCAUUCCAAUCUCAAAUUCAAAACUUCCUUAUGAGAGGUAUGUUUUUUCAGAAAAUUUUAUAAUCAUUUUGAUUGGGUUUCCUUCCCCCACACCAUGGAAACUUUCAAACCCUAAAAACUGUUCCUCUAACUGUGCAAUCCAGAUGAGGAGGCAGAGGAUAUGACAGCCAUCAACAACAUCCCUGAAUCAAAUGAACAAGUAAAACAAACACAACGCCAAAGUUUCCCAUUACUUCCUCAAUCUAACUCCAAAUUGAAAACUUUCAAAGCUUGUCUCUGCUGAUCUGUGCCUACCUAAUGCUAGCUUAAGGGGCACAAGACUCAAAUUCAAUCUUAACCAAUUAAUCAGUUUUCCAGCAAAAUUCACAAUUGGAGAAUAGAGUAAAGGACAAGAGACUGUAAAUGAAUGAAUGAACAAGGGAGAUAAUGAAUAAAUGAAGGAAUAAGAAGAAGAAGAAGAAGAAGAAGAAGAAGAGUCUAGUGAUGUGCAGGGAAAUAGCUUGUGUAGUGAGAUGAGCAACGGCAAUGCUGCUGGGAAAAAGACCUUGUGGAAUGAUAA